rnacentral:lncRNA from 1 species
AGGCACAAGUUAUUUCCUUCACUGCUGCUCCAGUUUCCCUGUUUGAAACAUCAGCUCAUUCUCCUGAAGGGAAAGGCUGCAGAAUUGUCUUCUUUUCUUGAACCAUCAGCUGAUCCUUGCACCCACAAUGUCACCUUAUUGAAGUGUUGGGGAUCUGGGGGCAUCAGCUGUGCAUCCAGAAGAUUGCUGGCUUCUUCCCAGAGAGCUGAAAUCUCAUUCUUCUCUCUGUUUUAA